rnacentral:lncRNA from 1 species
CACGCACACAUCCUUCUACCUUGGUCGAUUUUAUAAUGCGAUAUCCCAGGACAAUGUAUCGCCGACCCUUUCAUUUUAUUAAGCACAUGCGGAAGCAGUUAAAAUCCCCAGACAAUAAAACGAUGGGAUAGAAAAGCAGGGCCAUAUUUUUCAUAUUGAAAUUUAUAACCAAACUUUUAUACAAAACACAAACCACUUCAAAACUAUUCACAUCAAAAUGAAUUCUCAAAAGAAGAUAGACUCUCAGCCCAUCCAGGCCAUACUCAAGGCCCCUCUCGGGAUUAUCUUCUUCUUCCAAAAUCUUUCUACUCAGGUUUCACCUCCGAGUUCUCUUUCUCAGAUUCCUCCUCCUCAGCUCCUCAUCGGGUCCUGAAAUGUUUUCCCCAAACUGGGAUGAGACUACGUCUCAGCGAGUUCUACCCCACUAAGCCCGAUUAGUAAACCAUUAUACUAUAGGCUGCCUAAACACGCACAGGUGAGGGGACUUACCUUGGCCUCAGAUCCCACCUGCAAGUCAGUACAAUUCAUAAUAGGCACCCAAGCAAUCAUAUCACCGAUCGAAGCAUCGAUCAAAUCGACCUAGUCGAUUACAUGACAACGAGACCACCCAUGGUCAUUUCCAUUCAAUCAAUCAAUUCAUAACCUCAUAUCAAAGUAAUGAUCAAUCGACCUAGUCGAUUACAUGACGCCACGACUCAUGCUUGGUCGGCACAUUCAAUACUAUUUAUAAGUCCGACCAUAGUCCAGGACUGCUCACUCUAAACUGAUAUAUCGCCCGUAGGCUGAUAUAGUAUACUCCCGAUUCUCACACUCAAUUAAUCAUGCAUUCUUAGAUUUGAUCUCGGCAUAUAGCACGGCCUACUCUCAGUUCGGCGGUCUUCUGGCUUUGCCAGGCAUCACCUCCCCCCAUGGAGCGCGGCUUCGUCAUUACGUCGACGGCAUUCCCGAAGGAGCAUCGUCUCCCCCCUUGGAGCACGGCUUCGUCUCACCCCAUUGAGCACGGCAACGUCUCUUUAUUAGACGGCUUUCCCGAAUGAGCAUAGGGUCCAGAAUCAACUGCGACCGGCUUCCCGUUGUCUAAGGGGUAUCCCAAAUAGGGAUAACGUCCAGCUCAACAGCCCGGGACGAUUUCUCAUAACCAUCACACGAUCACUCAAAUAUGGCCCAGGGCACCGUGCAUUGCACUCAAAUGCUUUAAAUUAAAAUGGUGAGCCUGGCCUUUUUCUUCGUAUUAAAAAUUCACCUGAAAUUACUCGUGCGUGGGUACACGGUCAACUUGAUCCAGAAAAAUUUAUAUUCAUCCUUUUUGAAAUCCCACUAUUUCAUAUAGUACUAAAAACUAUUUUUGGUGUCAAAACCCGACACCUGGGAUUUUCUGAAUAAAUAUCAAAAUCCACAAAUUUUGGAAUUAAAUACCAAGAAUCCAAUCAGCGCUCAAUUUGCAUAAUUUAACACUCAAUUGCAGAAUUUAACCACGCCAUUUACUAAUCCAUAAUUCAGUCUCUAUCAAUUCCAAUCAAUUUAGAGUAAACCUCUAAAAUAUCACAAUUUAUUUAAUUCCAUACAACGUGGAGCUCAAAUGAAUAAACGGACUGCGCCACGACGAUCAGCACGAGAUUUCGGUCGUCGGCCAUCAAAAUCUUAAUUUCCGAAAAAUAAUUAAUUAAUUUAUUAAUUUCGAAAAUUAAAUAAUUAAUAUUAAAAAUUCAAUUUAGCUCAAAAUAAAGCCCGAUUAAAUAAACGGACUUCACCACGGUCAUCAGCACAAUAUUCCGGUUCCAGACCAUCUCAGUUGAAUUUUCGAAAAAUAAAUAAUUAUUUAAUUUAAUUCCGAAAAUUAAUAUUUAAAUACCAAAAAAUCCACUUAGGGUCGACAUGCCUAAUUGGAGCCCACUAAGGGUCGGAAAAAAAAUCCCGAAGCACUUCCAAUAAUUAGUAGACCAUGUCUACUUGCUAAUUACACAAUCAAUUUAUCUAAAUCACAUCACAAUUGACUAAUAAUUGCUAAUUUAUUAUAAUCUAACAACCUAAACAUAAUUAAUUAAAUCUAAACCAACCUUAAGCAUAAUUAGCCAACUAAUCCAAGAUUAGUGAGAUUACUCACCAAAUCGCACGCAAAUCGGAUCAAUCCGACCGCGGCGACGCGAGGAACGACAAACUCCAAAGCGACUCGCGGAUCCGGGGCCGGGAAACGGCCCAAAACGGGCCCGAACCAGCUGGAAACCCAUUUCGUGGGUUUCUGCCCUUGGCUGGUCGGAGCAGAUCCGGCGGCCAAAACGGCGAGGGAAGCCCGGCGGAGGACGAGGGGGUUGCGGGGGAGGUCCGGCGGGGCUGGGCGGUGGCCGGAGGUGGCCGGACGGAGCUAGAAUAGGAGCGAACAGAGCUGGGUCCGCUCGGGGGAAGCGCUGCAGCGAGCGACGGAUGGCGGGACGGCGGGCGCACGGGCGGGCGGCUGUCGCGGGCGUGCGAGCGGCGGUGCGGCGGCGGGACGGGUGGCGACGGUGCAGCGAUGGCAAGCUGCUGUCUCUGUUUUUCUGCUUCUGGUUUUCGCUUGCUUCAGCGUGCGGAGGAAGGAAGAAGAAGAAGAAAGAGAGAGAGAGAGAAAGAGAGAUAAGGUUGGACCGG